rnacentral:rRNA from 1 species
AUUGAACGCUGGCGGCAUGCUUUACACAUGCAAGUCGAACGGCAGCACGGACUUCGGUCCGGUGGCGAGUGGCGAACGGGUGAGUAAUACAUCGGAACGUGCCCAGUUGUGGGGGAUAACUACUCGAAAGAGUAGCUAAUACCGCAUGAGAACUGAGGUUGAAAGCAGGGGAUCGUAAGACCUUGCGCAACUGGAGCGGCCGAUGGCAGAUUAGGUAGUUGGUGGGAUAAAAGCUUACCAAGCCGACGAUCUGUAGCUGGUCUGAGAGGACGACCAGCCACACUGGGACUGAGACACGGCCCAGACUCCUACGGGAGGCAGCAGUGGGGAAUUUUGGACAAGGGGCGAAAGCCUGAUCCAGCAAUGCCGCGUGCAGGAUGAAGGCCUUCGGGUUGUAAACUGCCUUUGUACGGAACGAAAAGCUUCGGGUUAAUACCCUGGAGUCAUGACGGUACCGUAAGAAUAAGCACCGGCUAACUACGUGCCAGCCGCCGCCGUAACAC